rnacentral:antisense_RNA from 1 species
AUUUACCGAUGUGGUUGUCCUCGAUGUGCUCGAUGAGGUCGGCCAGGGUGGGGAAGUGGAGUCCGCAGCCCCCGAAUCGGCAGAGAUGGAGUUUUGCCAUUUGCCCAGGCUUGUCUCGAACUCCUGGGCUCAACCACCUUGGCCUCCCAAAGUGCUGGGAUUACAGGGGUUCCUGUUGAGAUGAAAGUAAAUGCAUUUACCAGCAUACAUGUCAUGGAAGACUGACUCUGCACCAUGCUCUGUGACAAAAGGCUUCAAGAUUAAACCGGUUUGCCCUUCUACCAUGAAGGUGAGCCAUGAAGUCUAUUGCCCAGGGAUUGGGGACGUUUGUAUUAAAGAAGAUUUUGGAGUACAGAAGCAGGAAGACGUGUUGUGGAGAUGCUGUUGGCAGAAACAACUGGCCUUGACUAAACAAACCAAGAGUUCCUACAGGAGCAGAGGCCACCGGGUGGAGGCUGACGCCCUUGCACAGGCUUGGGCAGCUCUUCUCCACAUGUCCACGUGGCUCACUUCCUCACCUACUUCAGGGCUCUGCUCACAUGUCACCU